GAAACAUGCCCCUGCUCCUGCUGCUUAUAACACUGACGAUAGCGUCAAGAAAAGAUAUUUAGGCUCAGCCUCUGUAUCUCCGCUUCAGCUUCAGCUUCGCUGUAGUUACAUUUUUCUCUUGCUUUAACGAGGGUGGAAAGAGUCUUGACAUCUUCUACUCAGGUGGGAUGAGGCCAAUCUUCUGUGGGAAUGUUGAAUAUAACGCCAGGCAGUCAGAGUUGGAGAGGCUUUUCAGAAGAUAUGGGAAGGUGGAUAGGGUGGAUAUGAAAUCUGGUAUGCCUCGACAGUCUUGAUUUUAUGUGUAUAAUUUAUUUCUAACUCUAUUUGGAAGCUCUUAUUGGUUAUUUGGUUGAGUUUGCUCUGGAUAAGAACUAUUUAUCUGGAAUGACCUUUCAUGUCCCCAAUCUCUGUCCUGCAAGAUUUUACAUGUAACUAUACCAAAAAAAGGAUUUUAUGUGAGACGAAUUGGGUAUAUGGUUAACUAGCUUCAAUUAAAGCCUUCCUGCUGCAGUGGUGUUAUUUCAAUGUAUUUUACCCUGUUAUUUUUAAUAUAUUAUCCUCUAUGUUGCGGGUGAGUUUGGAUCAUGUAUCUGAUGGUCCUGCAGUAAGAUGCUUGAAUAUGACCGUGUAGUGGGAUGGUGGAAGAUUUCACUUCCAUUUAUCUGGACAGUUUUUUAUUUGGUUGAGAGUUGUUACCUCCAUGCAACUGCAAACUGAGGCAUGAAAUGAGUUGCCAAAGUGUUCGUCCGGCUAAUUGCAUAUCAAACCUGGACAUACAAUACACCAUGUUCUAUCCGAUCUGAGAAAAACAGUUCUUAUGUAACUUAUUACCUGGUAAGCUUCGACUAGGUUCUAUGAAGUCUGGCUACAGAUGUUUUUGAUAACAAGCAACUAGUAAAGCUGAUGUGCUGACAAAGCAGUUGAUUCAUGAAACAAGGAGUAGCUCCUACAGGCUACAGUAAAAGAUGUCACCUGAGUAUGGUAAGUCUAGAGUUUCAGAAGUCCCACCGGCACUUAUCCCAUACAUUCAACUGUCCAAGGACUUGAAUAGUUGGUUUGCUAGGGGACACAACGUUCAUGCUUCACAUUGUAACAGCACUACACCGAUGGGCUGAAGAUCUGUUCAGAUCAUUUGACUCAACAACAGAAGAUGUGUAGUUUCUUAUGGGUGUUAGGAUAUGUUUACAAAGAAGUGUAUUUAAGUAUAAACCCCCAUACUCAAUUAUUCUUUGGCGCAGGAUAACAUUGCAAUGUCCAUACUACCAUGGCUGAUGGACGGCGUCUCAUUUCAUUUCCUAGCUGUGACAAGUGUGCUCUUCUUGUCUCCUAGAAGAGCUCUCUGAUCCAUCA